CUAAAAUAAAAUGAUGAAAAUUAUGUUGGUAGGGACAUCUGAGUAAAUUACAUGCUGUUUACCAACAUCUCUGAUUCCUUUAA